rnacentral:misc_RNA from 1 species
CGCACAUUGCGCCCGCCAGUACUCUGGCGGGCAUGCCUGUUCGAGCGUCAUUUCAACCCUCGGGCCCCUCGUUUGGCCCGGUGUUGGGGUUCUACGUCCUGACGGACCAGUAGGCCCUCAAAACCAGUGGCGGGCUCGCCAUGGCUUCCGAGCGCAGUAGUUUUCUCCUCGCUCAGGUGGUCUGGCGCGCUCCGGCCGUUAAACCCCGCUGUAUAUACAGAAGGUUGACCUCGGAUCAGGUAGGAAUACCCGCUGAACUUAA